rnacentral:misc_RNA from 1 species
GAAAGCUCUGAUAAAGCGAAGGAACUUCCUGCUACUUCUUCAUUAGGGGGUUAAUAACAUAUCAAUUUCAAAUGCAAAAGUGCUAUUCUUCUUCACAUAAGCCAUCUUCAAACAAUAAUGGGUAAACAUGCAGCCCCACUUCGUUGAUUAUUCCAUGCACUGACACCAAACUAUAAGUUUUCAGUCUUUCCUCCAGAUGCAAUUGAAAAUUAUCACAACUGCCUACCUUCGCCUUCUCUCCCCAUGCAAAGACCUGAACUCUCUCCUUCAAGUUCAUGCCCGCUUGAUAGUCUCAGGUCUUCAAGAAGACCAUUCGACAAGUGCCCAUCUUGUAAAGUCUUACCUUUCGUUUAAAAAAUGUGACUCUGCUCGUUUUGUGUUUGAUUCUUUGCCAAACCCAAGUGUUAGGUUAUACAACUCCAUGAUACGAGCUUACGCAAGUGUGAGAAGUCACCAAGAAGCUAUUCAAUUGUAUCAUUGCAUGUUAAGUAAACGCUUAGAGCCAGAUAAGUAUACGUUUACGUUUGUUUUGAAAGCUUGCACUGGUGCAUUAGAGUUUAAAGAGGGCGUUUUAGUUCAUCGUGAUAUAGUUUUUAGAGAGUUAGAUUAUGACAUUUUUAUUGGGACUGCUCUUGUUGACAUGU